rnacentral:rRNA from 1 species
AUUGCCCUAGUAACGGCGAGUGAAGCGGCAACAGCUCAAAUUUGAAAUCUGGCUCCUUUGGGGGUCCGAGUUGUAAUUUGUAGAGGGUGCUUUGGUAUUAGCUGUGGUCUAAGACCCUUGGAACAGGGUGUCACAGAGGGUGAGAAUCCCGUAUGUGGCCAGCAGCUUUUGCCUUGUAAAGCCCCUUCGACGAGUCGAGUUGUUUAGGAAUGCAGCUCUAAAUGGGAGGUAAAUUUCUUCUAAAGCUAAAUACUGGCCAGAGACCGAUAGCGCACAAGUAGAGUGAUCGAAAGAUGAAAAGCACUUUGGAAAGAGAGUCAAAAAGCACGUGAAAUUGUUGAAAGGGAAGCGCUUGCAGCCAGACUUGCCCGUAGUUGUUCAUCUAGGCUUUUGCCUGGUGCACUCUUCUGCGGGCAGGCCAGCAUCAGUCCAGGCGGUCGGAUAAAGGCCUUGGGAAUGUGGCUCCUUUUGGGGAGUGUUAUAGCCCAGGGUGCCAUGCGGCCAGCCUGAACUGAGGUCCGCGCUUCUGCUAGGAUGCUGGCGUAAUGGCUGUAAGCGGCCCGUCUUGAAACACGGACCAAGGAGUCUAACAUCUAUGCGAGUGUUUGGGUGUCAAGCCCGAGCGCGCAAUGAAAGUGAACGGAGGUGGGAACCCCUUGGGUGCACCAUCGACCGAUCCUGAUGUCUUCGGAUGGAUUUGAGUAAGAGCAUAGCUGUUGGGACCCGAAAGAUGGUGAACUAUGCCUGAAUAGGGUGAAGCCAGAGGAAACUCUGGUGGAGGCUCGCAGCGGUUCUGACGUGCAAAUCGAUCGUCAAAUUUGGGCAUAGGGGCGAAAGA